rnacentral:rRNA from 1 species
GAUGAACGCUGGCGGCGUGCCUAAUACAUGCAAGUCGAGCGAACCACUUCGGUGGUGAGCGGCGAACGGGGGAGUAACACGUAGGUCAUCUGCCCAUCAGACGGGGACAACGAUUGGAAACGAUCGCUAAUACCGGAUAGGACGAAAGUUUAAAGGUGCUUCUGGCACCGCUGAUGGAUGAGCCUGCGGCGCAUUAGCUAGUUGGUAGGGUAAAGGCCUACCAAGGCGACGAUGCGUAGCCGACCUGAGAGGGUGAACGGCCACACUGGGACUGAGACACGGCCCAGACUCCUACGGGAGGCAGCAGUAGGGAAUCUUCCGCAAUGGGCGAAAGCCUGACGGAGCAAAGCCGCGUGAGUGAUGAAGGUCUUCGGACCGUAAAACUCUGUUGUUAGGGAAGAACAAAUUUGUUAGUAACUGAACAAGUCUUGACGGUACCUAACCAGAAAGCCACGGCUAACUACGUGCCAGCAGCCGCAGUAA